AUCGAACGCUGGCGGCGUGGCUAAGGCAUGCAAGUCGAGCGGACCUUUUUAAGGGGUAACCCGAGAUUAGGUUAGCGGCGAACGGGUGAGGAAUACGUGGAUAACGUGCCCUGAACAUGGGAAUAGCGGCGGGCUUCGGCCCUUUGCGAAAGUGCCGGUAAUACCCAAUGACCCCGUAGGAUCGCAUGAUCCAGCGGGCAAAUGCUCCGGCGGUUCAGGAUCGGUUCACGUCCUAUCAGCUUGUUGGUGGGGUAAUGGCCUACCAAGGCAACGACGGGUAGCGGGCGUGAGAGCGUGACCCGCCACAUCGGGACUGAGACACGGCCCGGACACCUACGGGUGGCUGCAGCAACGAAUAUUCCGCAAUGGACGCAAGUCUGACGGAGCGACGCCGCGUGCAGGAUGAAGUCCCUCGGGAUGUAAACUGCUGUCAGGGGUGAGGAAUUUUGACCAACCCCAGAGGAAGCACCGGCUAACUCCGUGCCAGCAGCCGCGGUAAUACGGAGGGUGCAAGCGUUGUUCGGAAUCACUGGGCUUAAAGAGCGUGUAGGCGGAAUGCCAGGUGUCGUGUGAAAGCCCCGGGCUCAACCCGGGAAUCGCGCGGCAAACCGGUGU
rnacentral:rRNA from 1 species